GACGAACGCUGGCGGCGUGCUUAACACAUGCAAGUCGAACGGAAAGGCCCUGCUUUUGUGGGGUGCUCGAGUGGCGAACGGCUGAGUAACACGUGAGUAACCUGCCCUUGACUUUGGGAUAACUUCAGGAAACUGGGGCUAAUACCGGAUAGGAGCUCCUGCUGCAUGGUGGGGGUUGGAAAGUUUCGGCGGUUGGGGAUGGACUCGCGGCUUAUCAGCUUGUUGGUGGGGUAGUGGCUUACCAAGGCUUUGACGGGUAGCCGGCCUGAGAGGGUGACCGGCCACAUUGGGACUGAGAUACGGCCCAGACUCCUACGGGAGGCAGCAGUGGGGAAUAUUGCACAAUGGGCGGAAGCCUGAUGCAGCAACGCCGCGUGCGGGAUGACGGCCUUCGGGUUGAAAACCGCUUUCGCCUGUGACGAAGCGUGAGUGACGGUAAUGGGUAAAGAAGCACCGGCUAACUACGUG
rnacentral:rRNA from 1 species